GGACGGGUGAGUAACGCGUAGGGAACCUGGCCCUUACAGGGGGAUAACAGAUGGAAACAACUGCUAAUACCGCAUAAGCGCCCAGCCUCGCAUGAGGCAGAGUGAAAAACUAAGGUGGUAAGGGAUGGCCCUGCGUCCGAUUAGCUAGUUGGUAUGGUAACGGCAUACCAAGGCGACGAUCGGUAGCCGGCCUGAGAGGGUGGACGGCCACAUUGGGACUGAGACACGGCCCAAACUGCUACGGGAGGCAGCAGUGGGGGAUAUUGCACAAUGGGGGAAACCCUGAUGCAGCGACACCGCGUGGGUGAAGAAGCGCUUCGGCGUGUAAAGCCCUAUCAGUGGGGAAGAAAAAGGACGGUACCCAAAGAAGAAGCACCGGCUAAAUACGUGCCAGCAGCCGCGGUAAUACGUAUGGUGCAAGCGUUAUCCGGAAUGACUGGGUGUAAAGGGAGCGUAGACGGUUGUACAAGUCUGAUGUGAAAGCCCACGGCUCAACUGUGGGAGUGCAUUGGAAACUGUAGAACUAGAGUAUCGGAGAGGCAAG
rnacentral:rRNA from 1 species